UUGGUGAGGUAACGGCUCACCAAGGCCAAGAUGUCUAGCAGGUGUGAGAGCACGACCUGCGCCACUGGCACUGGGACACUGGCCAGACUCCUACGGGAGGCUGCAGUCGAGGAUCUUCGGCAAUGGGCGCAAGCCUGACCGAGCGACGCCGCGUGUGCGAUGAAGGCCUUCGGGUUGUAAAGCACUGUCGGGGGGGAGAAAAGCCGCAAGGCUUGAUCGACCCCCGGAGGAAGCACGGGCUAAGUUCGUGCCAGCAGCCGCGGUAAGACGAACCGUGCGAACGUUGUUCGGAAUCACUGGGCUUAAAGGGCGCGUAGGCGGGCAGGCAAGUCAGGGGUGAAAGCCCACGGCUCAACCGUGGAAGUGCCUUUGAUACUGCUUGUCUUGAGGGAGGUAGGGGCGUGCGGAACUUCCGGUGGAGCGGUGAAAUGCGUAGAUAUCGGAAGGAACACCGGUGGCGAAAGCGGCGCGCUGGACCUCUACUGACGCUGAGGCGCGAAAGCCAGGGGAGCAAACGGGAUUAGAUACCCCGGUAGUCCUGGCCCUAAACGUUGGGUACUAGGUAGUGGACUUACAUGGGUUCACUGCCGAAGCAAAAGUGAUAAAUACCCCGCCUGGGGAGUAUGGUCGCAAGGCUGAAACUCAAAGGAAUUGACGGGGGCUCACACAAGCGGUGGAGCAUGUGGCUUAAUUUCGAGGCUACGCGAAGAACCUUAUCCUGGACUUGACAUGUGCGAAAGCGGUAGGAAGUAGCUCGCGGAAACGUGGGGCCAACGGUAACCAGCCCGGAACCUACUACAGUG
rnacentral:rRNA from 1 species